AUUGAACGCUGGCGGCAGGCCUAACACAUGCAAGUCGAGCGAUCGGCGGACGGGUGAGUAAUUUCUGGGAAACUGCUUGAUGGAGGGGGAUAACUACUGGAAACGGUAGCUAAUACCGCAUACCAUCAGAUGUGCCCCGAUGGGAGUAGCUAGUAGGUGGGGUAACGUCUCACCUAGGCGACGAUCCCUAGCUGGUCUGAGAGGAUGACCAGCAACACUGGAACGGAGACACGGUCCAGAUUCCUACGGGAGGAAGCAGUGGGGAAUAUUGCACAAUGGGCGCAAGCCGGAGGCAGCCAUGCCGCGUGUGUGAAGAAGGCCUUCGGGUUGUAAAGCACUUUCAGCGGGGAGGCGUUACCCGCAGAAGAAGCACCGGCUAACUCCGUGCCAGCAGCCGCGGUAAUAC
rnacentral:rRNA from 1 species